rnacentral:rRNA from 1 species
UACGAAGGGGGCUAGCGUUGCUCGGAAUUACUGGGCGUAAAGGGCGCGUAGGCGGACAUUUAAGUCAGGGGUGAAAUCCCGGGGCUCAACCCCGGAACUGCCUUUGAUACUGGGUGUCUUGAGUACGGGAGAGGUGUGUGGAACUCCGAGUGUAGAGGUGAAAUUCGUAGAUAUUCGGAAGAACACCAGUGGCGAAGGCGACACACUGGCCCGUUACUGACGCUGAGGCGCGAAAGCGUGGGGAGCAAACAGGAUUAGAUACCCUGGUAGUCCACGCCGUAAACGAUGAUUGCUAGUUGUCGGCACGCAUGUGUGUCGGUGACGCAGCUAACGCAUUAAGCAAUCCGCCUGGGGAGUACGGUCGCAAGAUUAAA